rfam:Nectria haematococca mpVI 77-13-4 chromosome 4 genomic scaffold NECHAsca_3_chr4_2_0, whole genome shotgun sequence.
GGGCGAAUGGUUUAGUGGUAUAAUACUCCCUUAGCAUAAUUCGUCCAUCAGAUGCCUGCAUCUGGGAGUGGUCCAGGGUUCGAUUCCCUGUUCGUCCA